GAGGGACAGAAGUCAUGUCCAAAGUGUGGACAACUCUCACAUGUCAGCAGGCCUCCCUCAGCAUUGGAUGGCUGAACAGGAAGGUCUCUGCAACCAGCAGAGAAACUUCAGAGUGGAACA